rnacentral:misc_RNA from 1 species
UUGAAUAAACCUGAUGGGUUGCUGCUGGUUCUCUAGGGAGCAUGUGCACACUUGUCAUCUUUAUAUCUCCACCUGUGCACCUUUUGUAGACCUGGAUAUUUUUCUGAAUGCCCCUGGCAUUCAGGUUUGAGGACUGACUUCUGUCUUUCCUUACAUUUCCAGGUCUAUGUUUCUUCAUAUACACCCCAAUGUAUGUUAUAGAAUGUAGCAAAUGGGCAUUUGUGCCUAUAAAUUUAUA